AACUUUCUACAAUGUAUCUCGUGGUUCUGGCGUCGAUGAAGAACGCAGCGAAAUGCGAUAAGUAAUGUGAAUUGCAGAAUUCAGUGAAUCAUCGAAUCUUUGAACGCACAUUGCGCCCCGUGGUAUUCCGCGGGGCAUGCCUGUUCGAGCGUCAUUUCAACCCCUCAAGCUUCGGCUUGGUCUUGGAGCCUGCGGUCUCGCAGCCCCUAAACUCAGUGGCGGUGCUAUUGAGCUCUGAGCGUAGUAAAUCUCCUCGCUAUAGAGCCUCGGUAGUUGCUUGCCAACAACCCCCAAUUUUUAUCAGGUUGACCUCGGAUCAGGUAGGGAUACCCGCUGAACUUAAGCAUAUCAAUAAGCGGAGGCU
rnacentral:misc_RNA from 1 species